GAUGAACGCUGGCGGCGUGCCUAAUACAUGCAAGUCGAGCGAACGGACGAGAAGCUUGCUUCUCUGAUGUUAGCGGCGGACGGGUGAGUAACACGUGGAUAACCUACCUAUAAGACUGGGAUAACUUCGGGAAACCGGAGCUAAUACCGGAUAAUAUUUUGAACCGCAUGGUUCAAAAGUGAAAGACGGUCUUGCUGUCACUUAUAGAUGGAUCCGCGCUGCAUUAGCUAGUUGGUAAGGUAACGGCUUACCAAGGCAACGAUGCAUAGCCGACCUGAGAGGGUGAUCGGCCACACUGGAGCUGAGACACAGUCCAGACUCCUACGGGAGGCAGCAGAAGGGAAUCUUCCGCAAUGGGCGAAAGCCUGACGGAGCAACGCCGCGUGAGUGAUGAAGGUCUUCGGAUCGUAAAACUCUGUUAUUAGGGAAGAACAUAUGUGUAAGUAACUGUGCACAUCUUGACGGUACCUAAUCAGAAAGCCACGGCUAACUACGUG
rnacentral:rRNA from 1 species